AGCGAACGCUGGCGGCAGGCCUAACACAUGCAAGUCGAACGAACCCUUCGGGGUUAGUGGCGGACGGGUGAGUAACACGUGGGAACGUGCCUUUAGGUUCGGAAUAACUCAGGGAAACUUGUGCUAAUACCGAAUGUGCCCUUCGGGGGAAAGAUUUAUCGCCUUUAGAGCGGCCCGCGUCUGAUUAGCUAGUUGGUGAGGUAAAGGCUCACCAAGGCUACGAUCAGUAGCUGGUCUGAGAGGAUGACCAGCCACAUUGGGACUGAGACACGGCUCAAACUCCUACGGGAGGCAGCAGUGGGGAAUCUUGCGCAAUGGGCGAAAGCCUGACGCAGCCAUGCCGCGUGGAUGAUGAAGGUCUUAGGAUUGUAAAAUCCUUUCACCGGUGAAGAUAAUGACUGUAGCCGGAGAAGAAGCCCCGGCUAACUUCGUGCCAGCCGCCGCAGUAAUAC
rnacentral:rRNA from 1 species